CGCGUAUCCAACCUGCCUUACACUCUUGGACAGCCUUCUGAAAGGGAGAUUAAUACAAGAUGUUAUCAUGAGUAAGCAUUUUCGCAUGAUUAAAGGUUUACCGGUGUAAGAUGGGGAUGCGUUCCAUUAGCUAGUAGGCGGGGUAACGGCCCACCUAGUCUUCGAUGGAUAGGGGUUCUGAGAGGAAGGUCCCCCACAUUGGAACUGAGACACGGUCCAAACUCCUACGGGAGGCAGCAGUGAGGAAUAUUGGUCAAUGGACGAGAGUCUGAACCAGCCAAGUAGCGUGAAGGAUGAAGGUUCUAUGGAUUGUAAACUUCUUUUAUACGGGAAUAAACGAAUCCACGUGUGGAUUUUUGCAUGUACCGUAUGAAUAAGGAUCGGCUAACUCCGUGCCAGCAGCCGCGGUAAUACGGAGGAUCCGAGCGUUAUCCGGAUUUAUUGGGUUUAAAGGGAGCGUAGAUGGGUUGUUAAGUCAGUUGUGAAAGUUUGCGGCUCAACCGUAAAAUUGCAAUUGAUACUGGCAGUCUUGAGUACAGUUGAGGUAGGC
rnacentral:rRNA from 1 species